rnacentral:rRNA from 1 species
GACGAACGCUGGCGGCGUGCUUAACACAUGCAAGUCGAACGGAAAGGCCCUGCUUGCAGGGUACUCGAGUGGCGAACGGGUGAGUAACACGUGGGUGAUCUGCCCUGCACUUCGGGAUAAGCUUGGGAAACUGGGUCUAAUACCGGAUAGGAACCAUCUUUAGUGUGGUGGUUGGAAAGUUUUUUCGGUGUAGGAUGAGCUCGCGGCCUAUCAGCUUGUUGGUGGGGUAAUGGCCUACCAAGGCGGCGACGGGUAGCCGGCCUGAGAGGGUGUACGGCCACAUUGGGACUGAGAGACGGCCCAGACUCCUACAGGAGGCAGCAGUGGGGAAUAUUGCACAAUGGGCGCAAGCCUGAUGCAGCGAGGCCGCGUGGGGGAUGAAGGCCUUCGGGUUGUAAACUCCUUUCGCUAGGGACGAAGCGUUGUUGUGACGGUACCUAGAGAAGAAGCACCGGCUAACUACGUG